rnacentral:rRNA from 1 species
AGCUUGCUCCUCUGACGUUAGCGGCGGACGGGUGAGUAACACGUGGAUAACCUACCUAUAAGACUGGGAUAACUUCGGGAAACCGGAGCUAAUACCGGAUAAUAUAUUGAACCGCAUGGUUCAAUAGUGAAAGACGGUUUUGCUGUCACUUAUAGAUGGAUCCGCGCCGCAUUAGCUAGUUGGUAAGGUAACGGCUUACCAAGGCAACGAUGCGUAGCCGACCUGAGAGGGUGAUCGGCCACACUGGAACUGAGACACGGUCCAGACUCCUACGGGAGGCAGCAGUAGGGAAUCUUCCGCAAUGGGCGGAAGCCUGACGGAGCAACGCCGCGUGAGUGAUGAAGGUCUUCGGAUCGUAAAACUCUGUUAUUAGGGAAGAACAAAUGUGUAAGUAACUAUGCACGUCUUGACGGUACCUAAUCAGAAAGCCACGGCUAACUACGUGCCAGCAGCCGCGGUAAUACGUAGGUGGCAAGCGUUAUCCGGAAUUAUUGGGCGUAAAGCGCGCGUAGGCGGUUUUUUAAGUCUGAUGUGAAAGCCCACGGCUCAACCGUGGAGGGUCAUUGGAAACUGGAAAACUUGAGUGCAGAAGAGGAAAGUGGAAUUCCAUGUGUAGCGGUGAAAUGCGCAGAGAUAUGGAGGAACACCAGUGGCGAAGGCGACUUUCUGGUCUGUAACUGACGCUGAUGUGCGAAAGCGUGGGGAUCAAACAGGAUUAGAUACCCUGGUAGUCCACGCCGUAAACGAUGAGUGCUAAGUGUUAGGGGGUUUCCGCCCCUUAGUGCUGCAGCUAACGCAUUAAGCACUCCGCCUGGGGA